GAUGAACGCUGGCUACAGGCUUAACACAUGCAAGUCGAGGGGAAACGACGGGGAAGCUUGCUUCCCCGGGCGUCGACCGGCGCACGGGUGAGUAACGCGUAUCCAACCUGCCUCUGACUGAGGGAUAACCCGUCGAAAGUCGGCCUAAUACCUCAUGGUAUCGUCUGCGGGCAUCCAACGACGAUUAAAGAUUUCAUCGGUCAGGGAUGGGGAUGCGUCUGAUUAGCUUGUUGGCGGAGUAACGGCCCACCAAGGCUACGAUCAGUAGGGGUUCUGAGAGGAAGGUCCCCCACAUUGGAACUGAGACACGGUCCAAACUCCUACGGGAGGCAGCAGUGAGGAAUAUUGGUCAAUGGGCGAGAGCCUGAACCAGCCAAGUAGCGUGCAGGAAGACGGCCCUAUGGGUUGUAAACUGCUUUUAUGCGGGGAUAAAGUGAGGGACGUGUCCCUCAUUGCAGGUACCGCAUGAAUAAGGACCGGCUAAUUCCGUGCCAGCAGCCGCGGUAAUACGGAAGGUCCUGGCGUUAUCCGGAUUUAUUGGGUUUAAAGGGAGCGUAGGCCGUGGAUUAAGCGUGUUGUGAAAUGCAGGUGCUCAACGUCUGCACUGCAGCGCGAACUGGUCCACUUGAGUGUGCGCAACGCAGGCGGAAUUCGUCGUGUAGCGGUGAAAUGCUUAGAUAUGACGAAGAACUCCGAUUGCGAAGGCAGCUUGCGGGAGCACAACUGACGCUGAAGCUCGAAAGUGCGGGUAUCGAACAGG
rnacentral:rRNA from 1 species